AGCCCCGGCUAACUAUGUGCCAGCAGCCGCGGUAAUACAUAGGGGGCAAGCGUUAUCCGGAAUUAUUGGGCGUAAAGCGUGCGUAGGCGGCCACUUAAGUCUGUCGUGAAAGCCCACAGCUUAACUGUGGAGGGUCGAUGGAAACUGAGAGGCUUGAAUCUAGGAGAGGUAAGUGGAAUUCCAUGUGUAGCGGUAAAAUGCUUAGAUAUAUGGAGGAACACCAGUGGCGAAGGCGGCUUACUGGUCUAGAAUUGACGCUGAUGCACGAAAGCGUGGGUAGCAAACAGGAUUAGAUACCCUGGUAGUCCACGCCGUAAACGAUGAGCACUAAGUGUCGGACGUAAGUUCGGUGCUGAAGUUAACGCAUUAAGUGCUCCGCCUGGGGAGUACGGUCGCAAGACUGAAACUCAAAGGAAUUGACGGGGACUCGCACAAGCGGUGGAGCAUGUGGUUUAAUUCGACGCAACGCGAAAAACCUUACCAGGCCUUGACAUACCGAUGACGUCUUUAGAGAUAGAGAGUUACCUUCGGGUACAUCGGAUACAGGUGGUGCAUGGUUGUCGUCAGCUCGUGUCGUGAGAUGUUGGGUUAAGUCCCGCAACGAGCGCAACCCUUAUCCUCAGUAGCCAGCAGGUAAAGCUGGGCACUCUGUGGAGACUGCCAGGGAUAACCUGGAGGAAGGUGGGGAUGACGUCAAAUCAUCAUGCCCCUUAUGGCCUGGGCUACACACGUGCUACAAUGGCUGGUACAAAGAGGAGCAAAGCUGUGAAGUGGAGCAAAUCUCAAAAAGCCAGUCUCAGUUCGGAUUGUAGUCUGCAACUCGACUACAUGAAGUUGGAAUCGCUAGUAAUCGUAAAUCAGCAUGUUACGGUGAAUACGUUCUCGAGUCUUGUACACACCGCCCGUCACACCAUGAGAGUUUGUAAUACCCGAAGCCGGUGGCUUAACCGCAAGGAGAGAGCCGUCUAAGGUAGGACAGAUGAUUGGGGUGAAGUCGUAACAAGGUAUCCCUACGAGAACGUGGGGAUG
rnacentral:rRNA from 1 species